UACGGAGGGAGCUAGCGUUGUUCGGAAUUACUGGGCGUAAAGCGUGCGCAGGCGGUUCUCCAAGUCCGUUGUGAAAGCCCCGGGCUCAACCUGGGAAUGGCAGUGGAAACUAGGGGACUGGAAUCUGGCAGAGGGGGGUGGAAUGCCGCGUGUAGCAGUGAAAUGCGUAGAGAUGCGGCGGAACACCGAUGGCGAAGGCAGCCCCCUGGGCUGAGAUUGACGCUCAGGCACGAAAGCGUGGGGAGCAAACAGG
rnacentral:rRNA from 1 species